GACCCAUGCAACUUCUCAGCUAUCUAGCAGAGUUUACGUAAGUUUUAACUGAUUUAAAUACCAAUAUAUUUUUGCUUGACAGCAUGGCCUCUGCAUAGUGGGCAAAGAGUUCUUACACUCUUCUAGUAAUUCCAUUCUAUGCUUUUCUCACUCUGUUUACUUCUCCCUGAAAUGACCGUGACCUUCUGCCAGAUUUUCUUGAAGGUUAUGCUAAUCUUUGUUGGCAAGAGAAACAGUAGCUGGAGCGAAAGAAGUGAAAGAGAAUGCCACAUGAGAAUGAACAGCAUGCGGAGCGUGAGAAGUUUCUGCAAUAACUGGAACUGGAGCAGCCUUGUCAGCAUGCAGUCCCUGGAGCAGUGACAUUGCAGACAUAGUCACAUCCAGCACCUGAAAUUUGCAAGAACCGCCCCCAAUCUUUUCAAACAAAAGAAAUAAUUGAAAAUAAGCUGAAAAAACAGUCAUAUGUUGGCCAUCCACAUAAUUUCUUCUGAUGCAGAAUAUGGAGCAUGGAAGAGGACUUAAACUGUACAUUUCCAGAAGAUGGUAUCAGAGAUGUCUCUGAUGAAGAUGUGCUUCCACAUUAGAUAUCUUCCUUACUUCAUGGUCCAAGGAAGAGUUAAUCUUAAAACACUCUUGAUCUGUGCUGGACAGAAAAAUGUGAAGAACAACGACUCCUCUUGCAGUAGACAUUUGCAGAGAUGUGACCACCCCAACAUUUCCUGUUAGAAGUGUUGCUAACAGAGCUUGGGCAAAAGAAAUCAUGAGAAGGUGGCUUUCCAAGUGAAUGAACAUCAGGGCAAAGAAGUGACAGAUCUUAGCUGCAAAAAUGAAACAAAAAUUAUGGAAUCUGAACACUUCAAGAAAGAUUUAUCAAGGCUGGAAGAAAAAGAUGGCUUUCUGUAUUCUUUUGAAAUGCAAAGGAGUUCAGUUUUUCUAUUCCUGGAGUAUGUUUCUAUUGAUCUGUUAUGAUUCAUCUCUGGAAGAAGUCUCUAGAUAAAACACUUCUAAAUAAAAAUCUGUCAUUUGGGGGAAAAUGGACAUUAAUGGU